rnacentral:rRNA from 1 species
UACGAAGGGGGCUAGCGUUGUUCGGAAUCACUGGGCGUAAAGCGCGCGUAGGCGGUCAUACAAGUCAGAGGUGAAAUGCCGGGGCUUAACCCCGGAACUGCCUUUGAAACUGUAUGACUGGAAUCUUGGAGGGGGUAGUGGAAUUCCUAGUGUAGAGGUGAAAUUCGUAGAUACUAGGAGGAACACCGGUGGCGAAGGCGGCUACCUGGACAAGUAUUGACGCUGAGGCGCGAAAGCGUGGGGAGCAAACAGG